rnacentral:rRNA from 1 species
GACGAACGCUGGCGGCGUGCCUAAUACAUGCAAGUAGAACGCUGAAGGAGGAGCUUGCUCUUCUGGAUGAGUUGCGAACGGGUGAGUAACGCGUAGGUAACCUGCCUGGUAGCGGGGGAUAACUAUUGGAAACGAUAGCUAAUACCGCAUAAGAGUAGAUGUUGCAUGACAUUUGCUUAAAAGGUGCAAUUGCAUCACUACCAGAUGGACCUGCGUUGUAUUAGCUAGUUGGUGAGGUAACGGCUCACCAAGGCGACGAUACAUAGCCGACCUGAGAGGGUGAUCGGCCACACUGGGACUGAGACACGGCCCAGACUCCUACGGGAGGCAGCAGUAGGGAAUCUUCGGCAAUGGACGGAAGUCUGACCGAGCAACGCCGCGUGAGUGAAGAAGGUUUUCGGAUCGUAAAGCUCUGUUGUAAGAGAAGAACGAGUGUGAGAGUGGAAAGUUCACAC